rnacentral:rRNA from 1 species
AUCGAUUAACAAUUGGAGGGCAAGUCUGGUGCCAGCAGCCGCGGUAAUUCCAGCUCCAAUAAGGAAAACUAAAGUUGCUGUGUUUAAAAAGCUCGUAGUUGAAUUUCGGGUAUUUGUUGCUAGCUGGUCUUCACGGCCAUGUUGGUUAACAGAUCCUCAUUUGCUGGACGGCUGGCGAUGAUCUUUAUCGAUUGUCGUCAGUUGCCAGAACGUUUACUUUGAGAAAAUUAGAGUGCUAAAAGCAGGCUCACGCCUAUAUAUAUUGCAUGGAAUAAUGAAAUAAGAUCUCGAUUUUAUUUCGUUGGUUUUAGAAAUUGAGAUAAUGAUUAAUAGGAUCAGAGGGGGGCGUACGUACUGUGGUGUGAGAGGUGAAAUUCUUGGAUCGCCACAGGACGAACAGCAGCGAAGGCGUUCGCCAAGAAUGUUUUCAUUAAUCAAGAACGAAAGUUUGAGGUUCGAAGACGAUUAGAUACCGUCCUAGUUCAAACCAUAAACGUUGCCAACUGUCUUUUAGAUGCGGUUAUUUAUAUGACUCAUCUGGCGGAUCUCGAGAAAUCUAAGUUUUUAGGUUCCGGGGGAAGUAUGGUUGCAAAGCUGAAACUUAAAAGAAUUGACGGAAGGACACACAAGAAGUGGAGCCUGUGGCCUAAUUUGACCCAACACGGGAAACCUUACUCGGCCAGGACACUUUUAGGAUUGACAGAUUGAGAGCUCUUUCUUGAUUAGGUGGGUGGUGGUGCAUGGUCGUUCGUAGUUCGUGGAGCGAUUUGUCUGAUUAAUUUCGAUAACGAACGAGACUCCGGCUUACUAAAUAGUCUAAAGUUCGAAGGGACUUUUCAAGACUUCUUAGCAGGAUAAGUGGCACUUUUUAAGCCACACGAAAUGGAGCAAUAACAGGUCUGUGAUGCCCUUAGAUGUCCGAGGCUGCACGCGCGCUACACUGGAGAGUUCAGAAUGUUUCUUCCUACUUCGACAGAAGUGGGUAACCAUGAAAUUCUCUUCGUGACUGGGAUCGGAGCUUGCAAUUAUUCUCCGUCAACGAGGAAUUCCUAGUAAGCACUAUUUCAUCAGAAUGUGCUGAUUAUGUCCCUGUCCUUUGUACACACCGCCCGUCGCUACUACCGAUUGAAUGUUUUAGUGAGAUCUUCGGCUUGGUUUUCCGAGCGACUCUCGGGUCGUUCGGUUUAUAUCGAAAAGAUGCUCAAACUGGAUCAUUUAGAGGAAGUAAAAGUCGUAACAAGGUAU